CCUACGGGGGGCAGCAGUGAGGAAUAUUGGUCAAUGGGCGCGAGCCUGAACCAGCCAAGUCGCGUGAGGGAAGACGGUCCUAUGGAUUGUAAACCUCUUUUGUCGGGGAGCAAAAGACGCCACGUGUGGCGUUCCGAGAGUACCCGAAGAAAAAGCAUCGGCUAACUCCGUGCCAGCAGCCGCGGUAAUACGGAGGAUGCGAGCGUUAUCCGGAUUUAUUGGGUUUAAAGGGUGCGCAGGCGGAAGAUCAAGUCAGCGGUAAAAUUGAGAGGCUCAACCUCGUCGAGCCGUUGAAACUGGUUUUU
rnacentral:rRNA from 1 species